UACGGAGGGGGCUAGCGUUGUUCGGAAUUACUGGGCGUAAAGCGUGCGCAGGCGGUUUUGUAAGUCUGUCGUGAAAUCCCCGGGCUCAACCUGGGAAUGGCGAUGGAGACUGCAAGGCUGGAAUCUGGCAGAGGGGGGUAGAAUUCCACGUGUAGCAGUGAAAUGCGUAGAGAUGUGGAGGAACACCGAUGGCGAAGGCAGCCCCCUGGGCUAAGAUUGACGCUCAUGCACGAAAGCGUGGGGAGCAAACAGG
rnacentral:rRNA from 1 species